UUUUUUUUUUUUUUCUAAAUUUUGGGGUUUUUGUUUUCCGAGAGUUUGGUUUGGUAUCUCAUGGCCAAAAUUUCUAAAUGGGAUCAAAUGAAGUUUGGAUGCUUCCGUUUAAAGUUUUGACUUGACCCCAAUGCUCGGAUUUGUUGAUAUGCUAUUUUAUUAUUGAGAACCCAAUGAAUAUACUCAUCCUGUCGGAAGUCGUUUAUGUUUUGGGUUUUUUAAUCUAAUUAGGGUUGA
rnacentral:misc_RNA from 1 species